CUGACACCGUUCCCAUCCCUCCACGCGCACUGGCACGGUGCGGUCCAGUUUCCGCUUCCUGGUUUAUUGUAACAAUGGCUCCUGCCUCCAGCUGCACGGCCGGAGCAACGGGCCCUGCAGCCCCCCGUGUGAUGCGAUCCGUCUCCACCUCCCCCGAUUUCACGGCGCGUGGAGGAGACCCCUCCUGUCUGCGCCCCAUGGCAGCUUCCCCCACCGCGGCGGCAGAACUCCCAUCCGCUUUCGCCUCCAGCUUAGGCUGUGCGAGCACGGGCGGUCGCGGAGCCUGCCCUGUGUUCUUUGGAAUGCAGCCUUCUCCUCCAUCUGGAACUGGAAUCGGAGUUGUCCCCGCUGUCCUGCAGCUGCGAGAUGACGCUCCCCGGGACCCUGGGUCACGUCGGUCCGACUGGAGAUUCAGAGGAUGGCGAACUGCUGACUCUGUUGUUAUCUUCUGAUGACGGAGUUUUGUCUUCUGAGUCUCUGGCUGUCGAAACGGCUCGAAGGACCAGUUCUCGGGGUUGAUGUUCCCUGAGAUUCCCCUCGGGGCGGCCGUUCCCCGAGGUGGUGAAAUCUUCCCCCAGGGUUGCUGUUCCCUGGGUAUUUUCCUGGGGUUGCUGUUCCCCAAGAUAAUAAGGUUUUCUGUCUUCUCGUUGCCCUGAGCGUUUCACACCAAAGGCAGAGACGACACUGUGAGUCCAGCAGCUCAAGUUAUCAAGGUUGUUUAUUUCAUAUUAUCUAACAGUUCUUGUUCGGCUUUGCAAGGCGUCCCCAGCAAAGCAAGACACGCCGUUGGACUGGCGCUGGGCUGCCGCCGGACUGGGCUGCCGCCGGACUGGGGCGGAUCAGAGAGCCCGUACCUUAUGUACCGCACUCCCGACCCAACCACAGUCCAAGACGUAUUUAUUGUUUACAGAACAUUACCAAUACUAACUUGCUACGCUAACAUGUCAGUUCUAUUCUAAACCAAUCUCUAAAGUCCAAAUCAGCAAAAGAUGGGGGAUGAGAACAAGAACAAGGAAACUAGGGGCCACUCCCCAAUUCCUCCAUCUUGUCCUCUCAGCCCCGUAUACUAUGAAUCCUAAUCUCUAUAUGUAUACUCUAUAACAAACUAUCUACUUCAAAAUUCUUAGGAUCUGUGAUUCUUUCUUCAUGUGAGCAUUCACUUCCAUGGAUAGAAGCCCGAAUCAGAGUCCUUCUGGGCUCUGUGGGAGGCUGGCUGACCCCCUUGUACAGAUCCCAGACCCCCCUGUACAGCCCCCUUGUUCUCCAGGGCUGUCAGAGGGAUCCUCUGGACUCCAACAGCUGCUCAGCGGCGGCCCCGUGCUCGAGGACUGCUAGGUAGAUUCCCCUGAGAGCUCGAGGAGGCUGCUACGGCAGUAACAGCUUCCCGUGCUCCAGGUGUACCUCAGCAGAUUUUAAGAGCUCCAGCUAUGGCGCUGCGCUGCAGCCCUAAGCUGUGCUCGCGACACUUUCAGGUGGCUAAAACUGGUUAUUUAGUUACCGUCCAUGGAGAAAUCUCCUACGGGUGGAAAAGGCUGGAUCCGUAGUCCAUCCACGGCUGGGCACCAAUUGAAGGAGUUUCUCCGUGACGGUAGAGUCGGCGACAAAGUAUCUCUAUAAGCAAUGAGCAGGGGUAACACGUGGUUUAUUGUGAAGGCCUUGCUUGUAGCUGCUGGGCACAGCUAAAGCAGGCCAGGAGAGCAAGAACAGCGAACAGAGCCGAGAGAGGGCAGAGCCCCGAAUCCCGUACAUUAAAUAUCUUUCUAAGUUGAAGAGUAUGAGUUGGACCAACCAAUCUAAUACAAGAUGACAACAUAUACAGCCAAUAGAAAUGUCCUACCACCCAAGGCAAGCAGAAGGGGAUUGUUUAAUUAAAUGAUCUGGCCCUCAGCUUAGCAGAAGUAUAUUGUUUAAUCAAGGGGGCUGGCCCUCAGCUUAGCAGGUCGUUGUUCACAAGCUGAUGGCCCUGCACCCCACACCCUAAAUCUCAAAGCAUGCUUUCAUUUCUAUCUCGCUUGUUGAACUCAGACUCCCAGAAUCUAAACCACUAUAUUUGUAAGGUCUUUCUACUUCAUCCUUCCCAACACAAACCCAUGGCACAGCACAGCUGCUCCUGGACAUGGCACCUCCCUGGCAAGGGGCUGAGCUCCCCCCAAAUCGUGGCAGCAAAGAGGGAGGCUCCUGGAUUUGGGGUCUCUGCUGCAGCCUGAAGCUUGAGGCUGAAAAUUUAAAACACUUCAGCACAGAUGAGCCUUUCUUUGGGGAAGAGGCUGAGUGUCAGCUCUUACAGCUUCCAGCAGAAGAUGCUCAUGGCUACCCCAUCCCUGGAAGUGUCCAAGGCCAGGUUGGAUGGGGCUUGGAGCAACCUGGGAUAGUGGAAGGUGUCCCUGCCCAUGGCAAGGGUGCAACAAUAUGAGUUUUAAGGUCCCUUCAAACUCAAACCAUUCUGGAUUCUCCAACUCUGAGCUCUUUGAUAUCUCAGGUCCCCUUGCACCAAGGAUGGGCCCACAGGAGAGCUCUCCCUUCACAGCCUGGCAGAAUAACCCAGAAAUAAAUGGGAUAAUGCAGCAUCAGAUACCUCUGUGCCUCCUCCUGAGACACAAAGAGAGAGCGGUCCCUGGAGCAGAGAUUCCAGAGGAGGUCUGAGCUCCAGCAAGGCCCUCCACCAGUGACACAGAGCAGCUGGGUGGUAGGAGACACCCAGCAGACAAUCAGGCAGAUUCAGCCCUCCAGAUGGCACAGAGAUAACUAAUUACUUGCUAAUUAAUAAUCAGUUUCCUGUGAUUUUAUCUUAAUUGGGCUCUUUCCUACCCAGGCUUCUACAGCAUCGCCCUUGUUUGGAGCGAGCAGCGCUGAGCUGUGGUCCCCUGGCUGCUGGGGUCCCCAUUCCUUGUCUGUGAAUUAAGGGAAUGUUCCCAUUCCCUUCCCAGUGUGGGAAGGGGCUGAGUGGGGCAGUCCUGGGAAGGCCUGGGAGCUGUCAGAGCUGUUGAUGGGAAUGUUGUGCCUCAGGGUAUCACCCCCAGGCUUUGUUUGCCUAUAAAACCCUGAGCAUUUCUGUAGGACUAUGAAUAAUAAAUCCAUAAAAAUAAUCGAUAGCAGAAUUCCUGGGUCAGGGCUGUCAGGGACAUGUGGCAGCAUCCUGUCUCUCCUCUCCUUGUUUCUCCCCUGCUAGGCCAAGACAAGACAUCUCACUCUCCCCAGUGAAACUGACACUUCCCCACCACCCUAUCCUGCCCCUUCCCACACCUCAGACCCCUCAGAUUCCCCAGAUCCUCAUCCCUCUGGGUCCCAACUGGGACAGUCUGAGCCUAGCAGCCCCUGGACACAUGAUGACUGUCCCUCCAUCCCUGCUGGUUCCCUGCCAGCUCCUGGAGGGAGCAGCCAGCCCCAGGUGAGCAGCAUCACUGCCCUGGCUCCCUGACCUGGAAAACUCAACCACAUCCUCAUGGACCGCAAGGGGAAAGGGCAAAACCAUGGGACACUACUUGGAUUUCCUCCUGGGAAAGGAGCUCUGGCACAAUUAGCACACAUGGGCUGGAAUGAUCCCUCCCACAAUUGUGGCUCGGAAGGAGGUGUGUAGAGACAGGUGAUGAGUGUGCUGGGCUGGGAGGUGUCCUGUGCCACAGGGCUUUGUCCCCCAUCCCUGGAUUCCAGCAGCUGGAGGGGAUGGAGGGGCUGGGAAGAGGAGCUCCAGCUUCCAGAAAACACCAUUUGUGUUCAGUCUUGCUGCUGCCUCCAGGCACAACCAUGAGGAAGAGGAUGGUAAAGGAUCUCAGCAAUUCUGUGUUGGGAAAGGGUAGCAAAUUUCCCCCCAGGUCCUCCCUAACUUUCAUGCCAGGAUCUGCCCAGCCUUGGCUUUGCCCAUGGGCAUCACCAGGAUGUGCUGGCACGCCCAGGCUGAGCUGGGUCCCACCAGGACCCCCUGUGCAGCAGCAAGGAGGGGAGAGCUUGGGGCAGAGUGAAUCCCUUGGAGCAGCUUUUCCAUGGUUUAAUUAUAUUCCAGGUAUUUUGGUGCAUUGGCUGUAAUUACAGUUCAACAUUUGAGUCAAAACAAGAGCAAAAAUCUUCCAACCACUUUAAAGAGCUACUUUGAGUGAGGAAAGCAAUAAAACACCCCGUGCUUAAACAAAUCCUUCCCACAUUUCAUCAUUCCCCUUCCCAGUCCUGGCUAAUUAUCAAAGCUAUCCAUGUUUUGGGAAUGGGCUCUGUCAUGGGUUCGCGCUGGCCAUGUUUUUCCAAACAAACCACUGUGAGAUGUGAUCAGGAACAGAGCAGAGCAGGCCCAAAACUUGGAAAUGGAAAGAAAACUUUGUUAAACUACAUAAGAACAGAAAUAGAAGGGGAAAAAAAAAACCCUAAACACACAAAAAACAGAAAUGAAAACCUCCCAGAACAUUUCUUCUCCUCCCCCCAAUUUCCACCUUUCCACGCUCAGACCUUUAACACUUACACUUUGCCUUCCAUCUUACUUGCUCAAACAAAACCCUGGGUUCCCAAUCAAAGUCAUCAUCACUCAAAAAGAACCAAUCUUCAAUUCAUCAAGGGAGAGAGGAGUCUCUCUCGCACCAUAGACCCCCCCACAGGAAACACAGGUCCACCCUCCCGUGUUUCCAUGUCACCCAUGGCACCGCCCAGAGAAGUCUGCCAUGGUGACACCCUCCUUUCCAUGUCCAGUGCUCUCACCACUGUCCAUGGACCAAAGCUGCAUAUAGGGCUCUUUUAAGGACGCUUGGCCAAGUACCAAAACACCAACCAUUUUUCUCAAUUUUUUGGGACAGCAGUCCCCCCCAUUUUCCCCUGGGGCUGAGGGUUCUAAGAACAGAGAUCUUCAUCCCUGAAGGCAGAGGGGGCCACCACACCCUCAUCCUCUCUUCUGUGUUCGCUCCACUCCUACAGUGCCAGUCACUGCAGCAAAGUCGAGCCUACUGCAUCCACCCAAAUACAGUCUAUGUUCAAGAGGAUUCAGGUUUGGUCUAUAGCUAACAUUAUGCAAGAAAAGUCCAGCCCAAAAAGCCACUCCUCUUCCUCUCUGCCCACCUGGGAUUCCUUUCCUCUUCCUCUGACAUCUCAGUCCCAGGCUGUCUCUCUCUCUUCUCUCAAACCACCAGCCAAGAGAAUCAAUGUCUGGAAAAAGUUUUCUUCCGCCUAAGAAAGAGUUAAAAGUCUCUGGCUCCCGGCAGGGCUGCAGGCUUGGCACUCCCCCACUCAGCUGGGCACUUUCCCCCCCCCCCCCCUUCUCUGCUGCUGGCUGCUGCCAAUACCAAUUCCGAAGCAGCAAUUUCUUCCAGGGGGGGCGGAACAAGGAUGGAAGGCACCUCCACAGUUCUCCACCCUUCCAUCCUGGAUAGGGGUUGGCCCAGCUCUAGUCCCUUUCACUCUCUUCUCUCUCUCCAGAGCACUGGCCUACCUCAGCUCGGCCGCAUGGCUAUUCCCCUCCCCCACCUAGCCCUGUGAGCUGGGCAGGGGAGGGUGUGUGCUCUUCUGCAACCAGAACCAAAGAGGAGGGUCCCUCUAGGAGUCCUUGCUUUUAACCCCUUGUGUUCUCAGAGGCGUGUCUAACCUCUCAGUGGCCACUCCAGGUGCCAGUAUUCAAACCUGACUACUGAUUGGUUUGACUACAACUUAUUGGAAAACUCACUUCCCCCUCAAACCAAGGCAGGCUCCUUUCCCCCUCCACCCUGCCUUGCAGUCUCAGUCCUUCCUCUGGGGUAUCGCAGUCCUUCCUGUGGACAUGGGACAAAGAGUCAAACAGAGUUGAUUAGCAUAGCUGGUUUGAUAACCAAGAUGUCAUGGCAGGAACAAACAGAGCUUUGAAGAUUACAGAAGAUGGGAUUAAACCUUCUUACAGGAAGAGAGAAGAUUCAGUCAAGACUGCUGCUAGCAAAAGAUGUUGUAGAAUGUAUGAGUUGUCUGUAUGAUCUUUAACCUGAUUAUUGUAGUGGAAAAUUAUUAACCUUUAUGAAAUGGUAUAUAAGUCUGGAAAAUCUGAGUAAAAUCGAAUUCUGAUCACCGAA